rnacentral:tRNA from 1 species
GGCUAGCUCAGCGGUAGAGCAUGAGACUCAUAAUCUCAGGGUCGUGGGUUCAUGCCCCACUGUGGCGCCA